rnacentral:lncRNA from 1 species
UUUCUUGUUGAUGUAAUAUUGUUGUUCUCAUAUUGUGUUGAUAAUAUAGUAUGUGGAUCACUGGAAAUUAGGUAUUAAAUACCACAAUACUUUGUGUUCUUGUUGUUGUUCUUGAAUCCGAGAGGAGUAACUUAAAGGGUCCUCGGUUCUCUUGAACUUAUGGACUGUUUUGGGUAUUUGUUUUGUGUGUUCUUGGUUAUUCUUGUAUCAAAUCGGAUCCCAUAGGCAGCAAAUACAUUACGAGGGGUUCAAUAUGUAAUGCACCUUGUGUGGCAGAUUUGGUCACCGGACAAGACUAUGCCACUAUAUCCCAGCGAACCAAGGAGACUGCCCCAAAGAAAAGCCAAUGGGGAAGACGAACAAUACUGCAGAUACAGUAUCAGAAUGAAAAAUUGUACAAUUUAAAAUGGCACCACGACGUUGGCCUACUACGCACAAGACUCCGGGAUCAAUAAGGUCUGGAAAUAUCAGUGGAAAAGUUAAGUUUUCAUCAACUAAUGGCUCUAGGGUUUUACUGGCGGCGACGGCGGAAGCCUUAUGUAAGUCAUCUCAGAGAAACCCUUUAACUCUCGCCCCUUCAAAGCCACCAAUAAGAUUUCAGCAAAAGGAAAAGGAGAUGAGGCCUAGUAACCUUAAUACCUCUAUUAAUUGUGACCACUUUAACAAUUCUCAAAAUAAUUUAAAUAAUAUAAUAAAUCCUUUUAAUACCUUAAUGAAUGACAAAAUAGAUCUUUUAUAAUCUGCAACCCACAUUUGUACCCCUGCUUUAUCACACGCGGUUGCUAUGCAUCAUAUUUCUUCCACUCAUAUCCUCUUAUGAAAUUACCCAGAUCAUAGUAAUUAUUGCUUUUUAGGUUUUAACUCAUCCAUAUCUCCCACUUUAGCUUUAAACAUAUCUAAUAUGAAUAUUUCGGCUGACAUAACCCCUCACCCCCCUUUUGUCUGAUUUACACGCUACUUCUGCAUUAAAUAGCAAUUAAUUAAUUCCUCUCUCUUUUCUAUAUAAUGGCUCUCCACCACCUCAAUUGCCCCUAAGGCUGAACAUACACCACCCCUCUCAAGGUCCAUUUCACCAGCUAGUUUGGAUAGUAAAGAUGGAAAACACAGUGCCUGUGGAGAACAACCCGCACAACCGUGUGGUGCAUAUGUCAAUAAAUUUGCAGCCUCCGCAACCUCCCAGCUCUUGGUUGAAAAUGGGACUAACAGGGCAUGCACUAACUUUCAAUCUCCAUAUCAACAAGGAACAAGUUCUUGUGAUGAUACAACAUCCGGCAAACCUUGCACAAAUAAUAAUGCAGGGAAUGAGACUAGGUUUGGAUGCCUUCAUGCAACACCACUGGACUAUGGAACCUCCACCAAUCCCACCACCACUGAAUAUUCAUGUGGAGUUUUUAUUCUACCCGCAACCUCAAUAAAGGGUGACACCAUGAAUCCAACAGCAUACCACUAUGCUGUCCACGGUGGUUAGCUCCAUGCAUGUGCCCCCGGUAUCUCAAACUACUCCUCCACAUGCUCACACGCCACCAAGGAAUCAGGAAGAAAUGAUAGGAAUGGAGAAGGAGAUUCAGGGAACCACCAGUCCAGAGUCAGUCCUCUUGGGGCAGGUACGGGUCUUUCUCCUUAAAAAAUGGUUAGAAAAAAAAGAUUCAUAUAAACUGUCUCCCAAAUAUGCAUAAAUUCUCUCUCCACAUUUGCCCGACACUCAAUCCAAUAGUGAGGAGGUAUGCACUAGUGCUAAACCCUUCCUUGGAUGAGAGAUUUGAAGUACCUAUUCCAUCUCACCACUUUAUCCCUAUGAAUUUUAUAAUCUGGAACUGUCGUGGGUCUAGAAGGCCAGAUUUUAGAAGAAACUUUAGAGAGCUACUGUACUUUCACAAACCCGCUCUAGUUGUUCUUCUUGAAACUUACUGAAAAAACCAUCAGUCUCUUUCUUAGGAGCUUCAGUUUUCAAGUAUUACAGCGGCGCCUAAAACAGGUCGCGCAGGUGGAAUGCCAUACUCUAGCAUGAGAAUAUCCUCAACGUAUAGGUUGUGGGGCUCACCCCCCAAGAAAUUUACUACAAAAUUCAGGUAAUCCCUUCCUGUACUGAAUGGUUAUUUUCAGCCAUUUAUGCAAAUAACAUUAGUUUUGAUAGGAUCCACUUAUGGAAUAAUCUUUAAAGAAUGACGGACACAAAUAAUGGUCCUUGGAUUAUAGCUGGUGAUUUUAAUGAAGUCCUCUUUAACUCUGGAAAAUUUAGUGGGAAUAGCCCGAACAAGGGAAAGACUAAUAGAUUCCUUGACUUUUUGAAUUACUGUAAUAUGAUUGACUUAGGCUAUACAGGUAGUAAAUAUACUUGGACUAAUAAAUCUAAAGGAGGUAAUACCAUUCUUGAACGUUUAGAUAGAAUUGUCUGUAAUUAUGAAUGGUUGCAUAUUUCCCAAAAUCGGUUGUUGUCUAUCUUCCUAGGGUCCAAUCAGACCAUAGACCGCUCUUACUAAAACUAAAAUCUAUAAGACAUGUCCUUAAUAAACCCUUUCGGCUAGAAACUAUCUAGACGUCACACCCAGAUUUCCCAAAUAUGGUGUCAGCGGCUUGGGAAUCUUUGAAUAAUUUCUUCCUCCUAGCUUAUGAUCUUUUUACUAAAAAUAUCAUGCUUUGGAAUAAGCGUGUCUUUGGCAAUAUCUUUGCCAAGAAAAAAAAUUCUCCUGUCCCGUUUACAAGGUCUACAAAACUCUCCUUAUUAUCCAACUAGUACUUUCCUCCAAAGUCUUAAAGAAACUCUUCAAGGAGAUUAUCAAAGGACUCUAAUAAUGGAGGAGAAAUUUUGGAAACUUAAGUCCAGAAUCCUUUGGCUUAAUAAUGGAGACACUAACACCAAGUUCUUCCAUAUGUCGACACUUCAAAGGAGAAGGAACCAUAUCACUAGUUUGUGGAAUUGUGUGGGCAACUGGUUAAGCGAAGGCCACCUCAUCAAGAACCAUAUCCUAGACUUCUACACUUUCCUAUAGUCUUUUGAUUUAAAAACCUCCAGAUGGUCACACGAUUUAGCCAGCUCUUGCUUCGUGCCUCCAGAUAUUGCUCCGGCUUUAUCAACUCCCUUACUCCACAAGGAGGUAAUCGUGGCUAUCUAUUCCUUCAAUUCGUAUAAGGCGCUUGGUCCAGAUGGCCUACACCCAUUUUUCUACCAAUAAUUUCUUCAUUUAGUGGGUGGUUCUGUGGUCAAAUUUUGCUAUCAGUCCUUUACGAAUCACUGCAUCCCUGAGGAAAUAAAUAAGACUUAUUUGUGUUUGAUUCCAAAGGUAAUCAGGCCUUCCUCUAUUUUCCAAUUCCGACCUAUUAGUCUCUACAACACAAUCUAUAAAAUAAUUACUAAAAUUAUUAUCAACAGGAUCAAACCUUUUCUACCACAAAUAAUAAGUAUGACUCGGGCUAGCUUCCUAACAAAUAGAUGUGUUACUGAUAAUGCAAUAGUAGUACAAGAGAACCUCCACUACUUUAAGCAUGCUAAGGCCAGAUAAUCUCAUACUCCCAUAAAAAUGGACUUAGAAAAAGUUUUUGAUAGACUAGAGUGGUCCUUUAUACGAGAGACUCCUCUCUAUAUCAGAUUUCUAACUGUUUUAGUUAACUUGAUUAUGUCCUGCGUUACCAUAUUUGCUAUUUCCAUUCUCUUAAAUAGGAAUUCCUUGCCUACUUUCUACCCGACAAUCGGAAUACGACAAGGUGAUCCUCUGUCACUAUACAGGUCAGUCUUAGUCGAUGAAUACCUACAAAAAUCUCAUCGAAAGGACCACCAAUCUCCUAUCUCUUCUUCGCAGAUGACAUUAUCUUGUGUUGCAAAAUUAAAAAUCAAUUAUGCCAAAAUAUUAUGCAAACUCAUACUACCUUUAGUACCUCAUCGGCCAAAAUAGUAGUACUACGAAAUCUAGGCUAUUCUUUUCUGCAAAUACCUCUGUCAAAAUAAAACAAGAUGUUUGUUCACUAGUUGGAAUCGAGGAAAGAAUGAACUUGGGUAGAUACUUAGGGUUCCCGCUUAUGAAUUCUAAGCUCUCCACGACUGAUUAUCAAUUCCUAAUAGAUAGUUUGAAACGCCGUUUGUUGGGUUGGAAAAGCAAAUUCCUUUUCCCUGCGGGUCGGCUGACUCUCAUCAAUUCUGUGCUCAAUACUCUUCCAAAUCAUCUAAUGCAAAUUACUAAGCUACCGAACCAAGUGAUUAAGAAAAUGGAAAACUAUGAAAAAAAUUCUUUGGGGUAUUUCUGAAUCUUGCAAGAAAAUUAAUCUUGUUAAAUGGUCUAACAUAACAAAGCCAAAGAAAGAAGGAGGUUUGGGUAUUCAAUGUCUAACAGCAAAGAACCAUGCCCUGCUAGCCUCAAUUUUAUAGAGAUUAUUUCAUGCACAAAACUCCUUAUGGGUUGUAUUCCUUAGGAACAAAUAUCUCGGCCGGUCACCCAACUCAGCUUACACCUCCUCAGUAUGGAAAAAUCUAAUGUUGGGAUGGAAAUACCGCCAAAAUGACAUCAUAUAGCAACCGGCUAUUGGAAGAAAUAUUAACUUCUGGAACUAUCCAUGGAUAAAACCUAGAACCACUUUGAGGUCCAUGAUUUAUGGGCUCUUAACUGAGUUCAAACAGUGCAAGUGUAUUGCUGACUGUAGAAACGAUAAAACUUAAAACUUGUUAAGCAUCUCUUUCAUCCUCCCUCAGGAGGUGGUUAGUAAAAUAUUUCCCAUCCAAUUCCCUAGUUUUUCAAAUCGUAUGAUCGUAUUAAUUGGGGACUGACACCCACGAGAAGGUUUACUGUUCAAUCUUGCUACAACCAAAUCAUUUCUAGCGAGGAUAAUUCUACGCAGCCGACUGAUUGUAGUUGGGUUUGGAAUAUGAAUAUUACCAAUAAAAUUAAAUAUUUUCUGUGGUUAUUAAGUCUGAAUAGGCUCCCUACUUCUUCGUACUUUCACCAUAUUUCAUGCAUCCAGUCGCCUAUUUGUAGACUAUGUCAACAGGGAGUGUCCGAGACUUCAUAUCACCUGUUCUUUUCUUACUCAGGACUAGGUCACUUCUACGAAAAGCUUACUACUUCAAUAGGCUUGGGGCCAUCCCUCACCUUACCCCCGCAUAACUCCAACACUACCUCUAUCUCUUGGCUAAAAGAUAAUGUCAACAAACAUACUGCUAUUUCUCCCUUAUUACCACUGGGAUUCUUACCCCCUUACUGGUUGUGGGUUAUUUGGACCCAGUAUAAAAAAACAUUUAUUUGAUAGCCAUAGGACUGACCCCUUCCCAGUCUUGGCCAUAAAUACAAAUGCGAAAUAUUGGUAUUUGGCAAGGAACUCACAUAUUACCAAUAUUUCUAUCACUAUUUAUGUCAAAUGAAAUUCUCCUAAAAGUAAUAACCUCAUGUUAAACACUGACACUGCUAUGUCUUUUAAGCGAAGUAUUGCCGGUCUAGGGGGGUCUUUCGUAACUUUAGGGGUGAAUGGGUUAUGGGUUUUACUGCUUAUACAACUGUCCAGGACAUAACUCAACUUGAAUGUUUAGCGCUUUUUGCAGGAUUGCAGCUCGCUGUCAAAUGUAAUUUCAUUCUCUUGAAAUAAAUGUGGAUGCUAAGCAAGUUUCAGCCAUGUUAACAAGUGCAGAUAAUUUUACUGACAACUUUACACUUUUGGAUGAUUGCAGGUACCUGCUUCUACAGCUGGGUAGUCCAGUGGUUGGUUCGAUGUACAAGGAACAAAACAGGCUUGUUGAUGCCCUGCAAAGAAAGUCGUCUUUACUGCACUUCCAUCCAGUUUAUAUAACAAUACUUUGAUUAUGGUUACUAUAUCUACUUUUUGGUCACCUCCUCGGGACUUGAUGAAGUUUUUGCAGGCUGCUAUGCGAGGACAUUAUGCUACUAGAUGUGUAAAAUCUGAUGCAGAUUUGCCCCCUAGUGCCUAUAUUAAUAUUCCUACUAGCUGUACUGUAGACUCUAAUGGGUGGUCUAUAAAGAGAUUAACUAAUAUGCAUUGACAGUGUAUGCUUAUCUUACACUGUCAGGUAAUUCUAAUACUUAAAAU